rnacentral:rRNA from 1 species
CCUGUGACUGGUUGCAGUACAGGAAUCCUUGUCCAAUUCUUUCCACAUUGAUGCUUCACCCAUCUGCAAAGUAGAUCCUUUCUUUACUGCUCAGAUCCAGUCCUGUGAAGAAUCCUUUAUCGCUAGUCAUGUGGUUCAUUGCCUCAGAGUCUAUACACCAUUUUUGGGAUGAACUCCCUUGCGUUGCUCUGAAGCACCCACUCCAUUGUUGAGCGACUGUGUUUCUGUUUGUGACUUUAGCCCUCUGCUUAGGUGUUCAUAGAGACAGUUUCUGCUGUUCUGCUUUCCAUAUAUAGCAGUCUUUCUUUAAAUGUCCCUUCUUUUUGCAUCUGAAGCGUACUCUGGUUUCCCUCUUAGAAACUUUGUCUGAGGUUUCCAGUGCAGUCUCAUUACCCUGCUUUAGAUCAUUCUGCAAGUUCUCCUUUCUGUGCUGGAAUUCAUCCACAAGUCUACCUUUAACAAAUUCCAGCUUACGUUCGGCCUGUGGCCUUGUCUCCAGGGCAUUGAUGAAGGCACUGUAAGAUUCAGGCAGGCUGCAGAGGAGUAGGGCUACCACAUGGCUGUCCUUUGUAUCUUCUCCAAUGCCGCGCAGCUGUGCCACUACUUCCAACAUGGCUUUUAUAUGCUCCUGCAUUUCACUUUCUUUGCCAAGCCUCAUUUUGUAUAGUUUCCUCAGUAGAAACAGUUUGUUAUUCAGGCUACUUCUCUCAUGCGAGUUUUGCAAUGCAAUCCACAUGCCUCUUGCUGUGGUCUCAUUUCUUAUAUGGAUUAGCUGGUCAUCUUCUACCAAUUAACUUAUUGUAGCCUUUGCUAACCUGUCCUUUUUAUCCCAUUCCUCAUGAUUUUCUGCUGGUCUGUUCAUGGUAAUCACCUCCCAUAGAUCAUCUUUAGACACCAGCAUUUCCUCUUUAAACUUCCACAAUUGGUAGUUUACAUUGUUCAGGUCUCUUACUGAAAGUCUGAGAUCUGAGCUGCUUUCCAUACUUGCUUCUGUCCCUUUCCCCUUCUGGGAUUUAGGCCUUCUUAUUCACAGUCAGUAGGCCUCUCUGUCUGGGAGUUUUCUUUCACAUUUUCUGCACUCCUUCUGGGAUGCUUCUAGUCUUCAAAAUUGCCUCGAAGAUGUCCUGGGCCCAUAACCUAUUGUAGAGUUAGUUUUCAGUUGAAUAACACACAGCAGAAGUUUCUUCAAAACAGAACUUUACUAAGAACUCAGAAUAUAUGCUUCCAUGCUGUACAGACUUCAUGGGACAAGAUGGAGGACAGAGAGAGAGAAGAGAGGAGACAAGGAGAGAGAGAAAAAAACUGUUUCAUCCCCAUAUCCUCCCCCCUACUGGACAAGCCCCAUAUUAAGCUUGCAGGGCUUACAAUGGGCUUUUACUUGUGACUGUUGAACAAUCCAACGAUAACAAGCUAUGUAACCUCCUGACCAGGGAGGCCAGUAAGCUCCCCUAACCUCUCCCAGUCUCCCCUACCUGCCUUCAUCCCUUCUUUCUAGAUGCUCCCCAUGCAUCGAACUUCCUCCCUGCCCACAUCUGCCUCGCCCCCUCCCUUUGUACCUUCAAAUCCCUCCUCAAGACCCACCACUUCCACUUUGCCCUCCCCGACUCCUCGCUCCCCUCACCUAACUCCUGCUGAUACUCUCAAUUCAGAACAAUCUGUUACCUGAGGUCUAUGUACUGAUAUCAUCACCACAUGGACCGGCCAGUCAUCAUUCCUGAUGUAACCAAGUCAAGAAAGCGCACCUGGGACCUCGCAUCUUCGUGAAUGUUACACUCCUUGUUUCUCCCUCUGUUUCCUUUCCUUCAUAUCUCCCCUUCCCCAUCUCUCAGAUUGUAAGCCCUUGGGCAGGGACUGUGUCUAAUCCAUUACUUUGUAAAGUACCAGGUACAUUGUGUGCGCUAUAUAAAUGCCUGCUGCUGCUGCUAAUAAAAUAAAAUAAAAUAAAAUAAAAUAAAAUAAUAAUAAUAAAUAAUUAAUAAUCUUAAAUGACAAGUGUACUGUGAACUGUACUUUAAAACCGCAAAGGGCAAACUCUGUAGCCUGACCUCAUUUUUUAAAAAGACGAAAUAACUCUGAUGGUUGAUCUCACUGUUCAUUAUGAAUAUGGACCAGACUGCUUGAGAUGACAUCAAACACAAAAGUUGCAAAGUACACUCCUAUCAAGAUGGACAUCAUGAACCUUACCCAGGUAAAGCUGUUUGGCUUCCCCAUUGGGGCACAAGGAAAGUGGUUUGAGGGAAACUGGCCAGUUCUGGCCACACUUGGGUGGAAGCAAUACAGGAGGAAGCAAUUGGCUUGGCUAUUCAGUUGAGGAGCAUUGUAAUACUCCUGUGACAUGUUGUACAUAUUCUCUCGCACAGAGAGGGCAGUGGGUCUCUUGUAAUGAUUACAGGGAAAUCAUGACAAUGUCACUGGCGGACAAGACAGUAAGGCAGACAAGGUACUCGAUAUGGUUGGACAGGCUACUGGUAGCUCAUUCAGGAGAGGAUGAAUGAGAUUCUCACUGUCCCUACCUACUAUCUAGUGAAACGACAGCCAAGGGAAUGGGCUUGGUGGAAUCAGUGGGGAAGGAAGACCCUGUUGAGCUUGACUCUAGUCUGGCACUGGGAAGAGACAUGAGAGGUGUAGAAUAAGUGGGAGACCAGCCUGGGCCACCAGUGAAAUACCACUACUCAUCAUUUUUUCACUUAUCCGUUUAGGUGGGGGGGUUGAACCCUGAGGAUCUUCUGGCUUAAAGUAUCUGGCGCUUGCCAGACACAACCCACUCCAAGGGCAGUGUCAGGUGUGGAGUUUGACAAGGGUGGUAUACCUGUCAAACCGUAAAGCAUAUGUCCUAAGGCAAGCUCAGGGAAGACAGAAACCUCCUCUGGAGCAGAAGGGCAAAAGCUUGCUUGAUCUUCAUCAUGAAUACAGACAGUGAAAGCAGGGUCUCACGAUCCUUCUUACUUUGGGGGUUUUAAGCGGGAGGUGUCAAAAAAGUUACCACAGGGAUAACUGGCUUGUGGCAGCCAAGCAUUCAUAGCAACGUCACUUUUUGAUCCUUCGAUGUCAGCUCUUUCUAUCAUUGUGAUGCAGAAUUCACCAAGUGUUGAAUUGUUCACCCACUAAUAGGGAAUGUGAGCUGUGUUUAGACCAUCAUGAGACAGGUUAGUUUUACCCUACUGAUAAUGUGUUGUUGCAAUAGUAAUCCUGUUCAGUACGAGAGGAACCACAGGUUCAGAAAUUUGGUGUAUGUGCUUGGCUGAAAAGCCAAUGGAGUGAAGCUACCAUCUGUGUGAUUAUGACUGAAAGCCUCUAAGUUGGAAUCCCCGCAGUGCCAUGGAGUCUCAGUUGGCCUCGGAUAGCCAGGUCUACCCAGGGGGCAGCCCAGUGCCUAGAGCCAUCCAACUCAGGAGUGAAGCAUAGCUGGAAGGGGGGCACCUCUCACCCACAGCACAUGUUCAUG